rnacentral:lncRNA from 1 species
GCGGAAAGCCAUACUGCACCUCGCGGGAUCUUACUAUGCCCGACGGCAAGCAGAAUAUAAGUCGUAGGACUGGCCGAUCCUACGCCUAGGGCCGUGUCCCCCCUAGGAAGGGACUGGGCUCCGCCCACCCAGAAGGCUACUAUGUGCACACAGGCCGAUGUUCAACCCCAUCGACUAUAGGUGUCCUGUAGAUACUGCCAAGCCAUGCAU